ACAAAAAAUACAUACAUUUAGAAAGGGGAAGAACGAAAACAUGGAAAGCUUGAGGGGAAUAAAAGAGAUAGAGAAGGAGAAGGGGGAAUCGAGGGAGAAGAGAGGGGAUGGAAGUUGCAACGCCCUGCACACUCGUCGCUGCCGUUCCGUGUAGUCCGCCCUGGUGCUGGUUGAACAGGGAUGAGGGAGAGGCGUCGAGAGAGAGACACGAUGGAGGUUAGAGGGUAGAGCUGCCAUCACUGCCGUCGCGUCCAUGGAUCCCGAGCUCGCGUUGCCAUCUUUGAUCUUCAGCGCCGCCGUGGAGGAGAAUAGAGGAGUCACCAUCGCUGGAGAGAGGGAGAGCCAGAGAAGGAAGACGAAACGUGUGAGAAGGAUGACACACAGAGGAGGAAUCGUUCCUCUGCCGACGCCAUCGCCAGAAUUUCUGGCUGCUGCUGUUGUUUAUAAUGAGUUAAUCGUGCCUAGCUACCAUAAUCACCACCAUUUCUGAGCUCUCAUUGUUCUGUAACAUUCUGUAAUUGCCUCUGAUGUUCUUGGCUCUGUUGGGAUUGCUGGAACUUGUUACUGGCGAAGAGGAGUGACUGCACCAUCCUCUUCAUUUUGACACUAAACCUCUAUUCAUAACCUUAGAUAUUAGAUAUCAUAAUUGAAAUAAGAACAUACAGAGAAAUAAAAUACCAAACGGAACAAGAGCGAGAGCGUUACAGGACUAUGAAUAGAGGUUUAAGGUAAAAACGAAGAGGAUGGUGCAGUCAUCCGCCGGUGAUAAGUUCCAACUAUAACAAUUCCGGCAAACCCAACAGAGUCAAGAACAUCAGAGGUAAUUACAGGAUGUUAUAGAACAAUAAAAGCUUUAGUACACGUAUUUAGAAUAGUACAUAUAUUGUGAGGUUGUGAUGUCAUAAACUUCUCUUCUUAUGUUUUUUAGAGGCUAUGAAUUAUCUUUUAGGUUAAAUUGAUUUAAAAAAAUAAAUUGUUAUUAUCAUUAUUUGUUUGAUAUUUCAUUGUGGUAUCAUAUUUUUAAAUUUAUGACGUCACUACAAUUAAAUCAUUAAAGCCUUUGAAAUUAACCGCACAUUAUUAUUUCUUUUUUUUUUUCGUUGUUGGUCAUGGGCUCAUAGCCACCCGUUAUUACAAACACAAAGAAGAAUAGGCAGAUACAAAUUUUGUGAGAAAAUAACAAAGAGACUCAAAACAGAAAGGGUCCAAAAAUUAUCUACUUACGCAAUGCAGUCUAGUUAAAGGACCAAAUAAAUGCCCUCUUGUGCUACCUAUGUAUGCCCCAUGAGCCAAACCCAAAAAAAAAUGUAUGCCCCAUGAGUCAUGUCUCUCUCCUCAAACUCCGUUUGAAACAAUGCCUAAGAUUAAAGACCGUCCAAUUUAACC